ACUGUAAGCGUGUUUAUUAAAUGCCCUAGUGAACGAUUAUCGUAAUACCGUUAGUCGACAUACUGUAACGCUGUUUUACAGAUAUUAGUUAAAAGUACAGAAUUCGCGUGUUAUUCCAAUCCACUUGGAAUUUCCGAUCCAAAGCACCUUUGCGGUGUGGAAUUAGUGUUAUUAGUAAAAUUUCCAUAGCUUCUCGCGUUGACAUGACAACUUCUAUCUGAAUUUGCCUUCCUCAAAAAUAAUUACGAAGCAUAAAAAAAGCAAAACGUCCUUAGCUAAAGAGAACAGAUUCGGCGGCUUAUAUAAAUAACUCGUUUAGAUAUGUGACCCCCUGAUAAUAGAAUCUCGACAUGUGAUCCUUGAAGGAAAUAACUGCAAAGUGAUCUGUGAUGGCGCAACCCAAUUUUAGGUUUCUGCAUCAAGUGUAGUUGAAAUCCUUCUCACAAUGAAGAUCAAGUUCGUACUUCUGAUUGCUAUGGUGAUUUUGUACGUCGUUGGAGACGACCACUUCAUCCACACAGAUCACCACAGAAGACGUAAACAUCGGGUGGCGAGCGGAAAAAGAG